GGUGCAGGGGGGCUGGCAGCAGAGCAGCGAGUACUACCUGCUCAAGGAGGUGUA
rnacentral:SRP_RNA from 1 species